rnacentral:rRNA from 1 species
GACGAACGCUGGCGGCGUGCUUAACACAUGCAAGUCGAACGAGCGGCGGACGGGUGAGUAAUGUAUGGGGACUGCCUGAUAGAGGGGGAUAACUACUGGAAACGGUGGCUAAUCCCGCAUACUAUCGGAUAACCCAUAUGGGAUUAGCUAGUAGGUGGGGUAAAGGCUCACCUAGGCGACGAUCUCUAGCUGGUCUGAGAGGAUGAUCAGCGACACUGGGACUGAGACACGGCCCAGACUCCUACGGAGGCAGCAGUGGGGAAUAUGGUGCAAUGGGCGCAAGCCGGAUGCAGCCAUGCCGAGUGUAUGAAGAAGGCCUUAGGGGUGUAAAGUACUUUCAGCGGGGAGGCGUUACCCGCAGAAGAAGCACCGGCUAACUCCGUGCCAGCAGCCGCGGUAAUAC